UACGUAGGGUGCGAGCGUUAAUCGGAAUUACUGGGCGUAAAGCGUGCGCAGGCGGUUUUGUAAGCCAGAUGUGAAAUCCCCGGGCUCAACCUGGGAAUGGCAUUUGGGACUGCAAGGCUUGAGUGCGGCAGAGGAGACUGGAAUUCCUGGUGUAGCAGUGAAAUGCGUAGAUAUCAGGAGGAACAUCGAUGGCGAAGGCAGCCCCUUGGACCUGUACUGACGCUCAUGCACGAAAGCGUGGGGAGCAAACAGG
rnacentral:rRNA from 1 species